AGCAAAAAAAUUGAAAUAUUUUAAUUUAUUUUAUUUUCUUUUUUCCCCAAGGCUCACAGGCAUUUCCAAAGUGCAACAUGAUUUCAAGGUUAACUGCCAUUCCCACCCCUCCAGCUUCUUACAUGUAAAAUGAGCAAGUAUAGACUAUCCAUCAGCAUGAGGCUGUGUGAGGCAUGUGGAAAGUUGCUUAUGCUGAAGAAGUCUCCUCUCUAGCCUGUGUCCCAGCUCUUCUCAACUCAUGCCUGUAAUCCCCUGUGCUGCAUCCUGGAUCUCCU
rnacentral:lncRNA from 12 species